rnacentral:rRNA from 1 species
UACGUAGGGUGCAAGCGUUAAUCGGAAUGACUGGGCGUAAAGCGUGCGUAGGCGGUUUGCUAAGACCGAUGUGAAAUCCCCGGGCUCAACCUGGGAACUGCAUUGGUGACUGGCAGGCUAGAGUAUGGCAGAGGGAGGUAGAAUUCCACGUGUAGCAGUGAAAUGCGUAGAGAUGUGGAGGAAUACCGAUGGCGAAGGCAGCCUCCUGGGCCAAUACUGACGCUCAUGCACGAAAGCGUGGGGAGCAAACAGG